rnacentral:rRNA from 1 species
UACGGGGGGAGCAAACGUUGUUCGGAAUCACUGGGCGUAAAGGGCGUGUAGGCGGCUGAAUAAGUGGGAUGUUAAAUCCCCCGGCUCAACCGGGGACCUGCAUCUCAUACUGUUCAGCUCGAGCACAUCAGAGGAGACUGGAAUUCCCGGUGUAGCGGUGAAGUGCGUAGAUAUCGGGAGGAACACCAGUGGCGAAGGCGAGUCUCUGGGAUGAUGCUGACGCUGAGGCGCGAAAGCCAGGGGAGCAAACGGG